GACGAACGCUGGCGGCGUGCUUAACAUGCAAGUCGAGCGGUAAGGCUCCUUUCGGGAGUACACGAGCGGCGAACGGGUGAGUAACACGUGAGCAAUCUGCCCUUCACUUUGGGAUAACUUCCGGAAACGGAAGCUAAUACCGAAUACGACCACUUCACGCAUGUGAUGGUGGUGGAAAGUUCCGGCGGUGAAGGAUGAGCUCGCGGCCUAUCAGCUUGUUGGUGAGGUAAUGGCUCACCAAGGCUUCGACGGGUAGCCGGCCUGAGAGGGUGACCGGCCACACUGGGACUGAGACACGGCCCAGACUCCUACGGGAGGCAGCAGUGGGGAAUAUUGGACAAUGGGCGAAAGCCUGAUCCAGCAACGCCGCGUGAGGGAUGACUGCCUUCGGGUUGUAAACCUCUUUCAGCGGGGACGAAGCGAAAGUGACGGUACCCGCAGAAGAAGCACCGGCCAACUACGUGCCAGCAGCCGCGGUAAUACGUAGGGUGCGAGCGUUGUCCGGAAUUAUUGGGCGUAAAGGGCUCGUAGGCGGUUUGUCACGUCGGGAGUGAAAACUCAGGGCUCAACCCUGAGCCUGCUUCCGAUACGGGCAGACUAGAGGUAUGCAGGGGAGAACGGAAUUCCUGGUGUAGCGGUGAAAUGCGCAGAUAUCAGGAGGAACACCGGUGGCGAAGGCGGUUCUCUGGGCAUUACCUGACGCUGAGGAGCGAAAGUGUGGGGAGCGAACAGGAUUAGAUACCCUGGUAGUCCACACCGUAAACGUUGGGCGCUAGGUGUGGGACUCAUUCCACGAGUUCCGUGCCGCAGCUAACGCAUUAAGCGCCCCGCCUGGRGAGUMCGGCCGCAAGGCUA
rnacentral:rRNA from 1 species